GUCAAUAUGGCCGAGUGGUUAAGGCGUGUGACUUGAAUUCUCUAGUUCAAGACCAUCACAUCCCUUCGGGGGCAUAGGUUCGAACCCUAUUGUUGACG
rfam:Exophiala dermatitidis NIH/TT8656 unplaced genomic scaffold supercont1.5, whole genome shotgun sequence.